CCUGAAUUGGACUUUUGAUCUGUGGGGGUGUAGUAGGAAAACGCACGGGCCUUGGACUCAAACGGCCACAGUGGAAUGGAGAGAGUCCGUGUACAACCUUCACGUAAGCUCAAAUUGGACAGGGGAAAAGCACUUAUUCAGAGAAGCUCUUGUGACGCGUUUGGAUUCUUGGAUUCCGGCGCCUUCAACCACUGCGUUCACGAGGAUUUAGCACAAGCCGGGAGAAACGAUCAACUCCAACACAACAAUGCGUUAUCCUUCUCACAGAAUUGACUUCAACGAUUAUUACGACUCAAGGAUUCAAGAACUCGCGGUGUUAAGCAAUCCACCAUGGUUCGCGAUGUUCGAUCUUUAUUGAUAGUUCAGAUACUCGAAGAUCCGCGAUUCAUCUCACUCCAUUAUCGUAUGUGCGGAUGGAAGAAAAACCACAUCGAAAUCGGAUCGGAAAAACUUACCAGAUUAAAGCUCCAAUUACAAUUAGCUUCUCACCAAUUCCGUUACGAGUUGCGAGCUUCUACGGAUUUUGUUGAAGGUUCUUGGUGGAUGAUGAAGGCCUCGCUCGCAUCUCCGCUUUGAGAUGAAGACGAAGACGUAAUACCGGUAUUGCCGAUCGAAAUGAAGAAGAAGUCUCUUGGAUCGAUCUUUGGCGGUUCGGUUGUGAUGAUGAUAAAUUAAUGUGGAAGAAUUGAAGAGUGAAGAUUGGAAGCGGUUGAAGGUUUCGGUGAACGGAGAUUACGGUUACGGUUACGGAUUCGUAGUGGUUGAAGGCUUGGCUAUGGAGUUUUGGAGUUUUUGAUGAAGGUGAUUGUGAAUUGAAAAAAAAACGGUUACGGUUACGGUUACGGUGGUUGAAGGUUUUGGUUGAAGGAUUGGAAGAGUUUGUGAUGAAGUUUGGAAGAAGAAGAUUGGGAGAGAGGAAGAAAUGAGAUUGAGUCUGUUAUGUGGAAAAAUCUGGAAGUGUAGUGAGGUGAAGGUUUUUGAUUUUUUUUAGAGUUAUGAGAUUAAGAUUAGAAGAAAAUUCUGUUAUUUGGUUGUGAAAUUUUUCUGUUAUUAUGCAGGUAUGGAAUUGCAUUCCCAGCUUGGCUUGUGCACUUUUUCUUAUGUUGGCUCGCUCGGAGCAGCUUUUUGCUUGUGUAUUUUGCAGGUUUUUUGUAUCGGCUUAUGCGGCUUGAAAUCUCAUUUGUUGUUAUGUUUUGCAGUUUGAAUAGCAGCUUGAAGUGUAGCUUGGUUUUGAUGCCUUGGCUUGGCUUGGCAGUUAUUGUGCAGGAUUUUGUUUUUGGAUUUAUGCAGAAUUUUAUAGCAGAAUUUUUAUAUGCAUUUUAUGCAGAAUUUUUGAUGUGUUGCUGAAUUUUGAUGUGUUGCUGUUAAAUGCAAUGCAGAAUUUUUAAUGCAGAAUUUUGUUCAUUUGUAAUGCAGAAUUUUUAAUGCAUUUUAGUUUUAUACAAAUGGAUAUGGGUAUGAUUGGAUAAUGGCAAUUGAUUUUAUUAAUUGGAAUAAUAAAAUGAAA